rnacentral:rRNA from 1 species
CCUACGGGCGGCAGCAGUGAGGAAUAUUGGUCAAUGGGCGCGAGCCUGAACCAGCCAAGUCGCGUGAGGGAAGACGGUCCUAUGGAUUGUAAACCUCUUUUGUCGGGGAGCAAACGACGCCACGCGUGGCGUUCCGAGAGUACCCGAAGAAAAGGCAUAGGCAAACUCCGUGCCAGCGGCCGCGGUAAUACGGGGGAUGCGAGCGUUAUCCGGAUUGGUUGGGUUUAAAGGGUGGGCAGGCGGAAGAUCAAGUCAGCGGUAAAGUUGAGAGGCUAAACCUGUUCGAGCCGUUGAAACUGGUUUUCUUGAGUGAGCGAGAAGGAUGCGGAAUGCGGGGUGUAGCGGUGAAAUGCAUAGAUAUCACGCAGAAUUCCGAUUGCGAAGGCAGCAUACCGGCGCUCAACUGACGCUCAUGUACGAAAGUGUGGGUAUCGAACAGGAUUAGAUACCCGAGUAGUC